rnacentral:rRNA from 1 species
UUCCGGUUGAUCCCGCCGGACCCCACUGCUAUCGAAGUGGGACUAAGCCAUGCUAGUCGAACGCACAGAACUAUGUCUGUGAGUGGCAUACUGCUCAGCAACACGUAGCUGACCUACCCUUCGGAUGAGGACAAUCCCAAGAAAUUGGGGCUAAUCCUCAAUAGAUGUGAGGACCUGGACUGGUAUCACGUCGAACGGUGUAUCGUACAUGUUUGAAAUACGCCGAAGGAUGGGGCUGCGGCUGAUCAAGCUGUUGGUGAGGUAAUGUCUCACCAAACCAUUGACCAGAACGGGCCAUGAAA